rnacentral:tRNA from 1 species
GGCGGCUCAGUGGUAGAGUGCUCGCUUAGCACGUGCGAGGCACUGGGUUCGAUCCUCAACGCCA